rnacentral:rRNA from 1 species
GAUACCCUGGUAGUCCACGCCGUAAACGAUGUCGACUUGGAGGUUGUGCCCUUGAGGCGUGGCUUCCGGAGCUAACGCGUUAAGUCGACCGCCUGGGGAGUACGGCCGCAAGGUUAAAACUCAAAUGAAUUGACGGGGGCCCGCACAAGCGGUGGAGCAUGUGGUUUAAUUCGAUGCAACGCGAAGAACCUUACCUACUCUUGACAUCCAGAGAACUUUCCAGAGAUGGAUUGGUGCCUUCGGGAACUCUGAGACAGGUGCUGCAUGGCUGUCGUCAGCUCGUGUUGUGAAAUGUUGGGUUAAGUCCCGCAACGAGCGCAACCCUUAUCCUUUGUUGCCAGCGGUCAGGCCGGGAACUCAAAGGAGACUGCCAGUGAUAAACUGGAGGAAGGUGGGGAUGACGUCAAGUCAUCAUGGCCCUUACGAGUAGGGCUACACACGUGCUACAAUGGCGCAUACAAAGAGAAGCGACCUCGCGAGAGCAAGCGGACCUCAUAAAGUGCGUCGUAGUCCGGAUUGGAGUCUGCAACUCGACUCCAUGAAGUCGGAAUCGCUAGUAAUCGUAGAUCAGAAUGCUACGGUGAAUACGUUCCCGGGCCUUGUACACACCGCCCGUCACACCAUGGGGAGUGGGUUGCAAAAGAAGUAGGUAGCUUAACCUUCGGGAGGGCGCUUACCACUUUGUGAUUCAUGA